GACGAACGCUGGCGGCGUGCCUAAUACAUGCAAGUAGAACGCUGAAGGAGGAGCUUGCUUCUCUGGAUGAGUUGCGAACGGGUGAGUAACGCGUAGGUAACCUGACUGGUAGCGGGGGAUAACUAUUGGAAACGAUAGCUAAUACCGCAUAAUAGUAGAUGUUGCAUGACAUUUGCUUAAAAGGUGCAAUUGCAUCACUACCAGAUGGACCUGCGUUGUAUUAGCUAGUUGGGGGGGUAACGGCACACCAACGCGACGAUACAUAGGCUACCUGGGAGGGGGGUCGGCCACACUUGGACUGAGGCACGGCCCAGGCUCCUUCGGGAGGCAGCAGGAGGGAAUCUUCGGCAAUGGACGGAAGUCUGACCGAGCAACGCCGCGGGAGGGAAGAAGGUUUUCGGAUCGUAAAGCUCUGUUGUUAGAGAAGAACGAGUGUGAGAGUGGAAAGUUCACACUGUGACGGUAUCUUACCAGAAAGGGACGGCUAACUACGUG
rnacentral:rRNA from 1 species